UACCAGUAUCUACUAUAUAUAAACGAUACAAGGCAGUGCGGUCCCAAGAUUAGCAAACAUCAAUGCCAACAACGAUAUAGUGAUGGCUGCUCACAUUAGAUAGUGUGACAGAAUAUUGUGUGUUGUGUUUUUUGAGGUACCAUAAACUUUACACGUGCGUGGAUACCAGCUGUAAACUGUUGUCUACGCAAUUUAAAAGAUAAUGUUUAAAACAAUAUCUUGUACACAUCUCCUGAGUGACUGACUGUGUAACAGAGAACUUCGGGAAUUUGAGUUAGUAGCAUGGUACCCUUGCACUCAAAUGAAUAGGUGUUCACAAGGCCUGUGAAAUGUAACAAACAUCAAGAUUGUCAUAGAAAGACACAUACAUGCACUCAUUACAUAAGUUGAAUGAUAGUUAUGUUGGCGUACACUUCUAUAAGUUACAAGUAUGAUAUGUACAGUAUCUCAAGGAUACUGAGGGUGCCUGUAGUGGUAUUACCUUGAUGGGAAGUAGUGACAGAAUAUGAUACAACCCAUUAACUUUGGCCAGUGACACACAAAGUGACAUGGUGACAGUGGCACUGUACAAUCAAGCUUGUUUUAAUUAUAAAAGUAUCGAGACAUCUGUAGGAGUAUUGGGGAUUUGGGACUAAUGUUCUUCUCAUUGACAUCUCCAAACAUGGUAAAAUCUUGAAAUAUUGAGCUACAGGAAGAAAAUAUGGAUCUUUUAAAUUGGGAAUGCACUAUGUAUAAAAAAUAAAAAUGAGAUUUCAUGACACAUCCAUUGGCAUCACCAACUAACAACCAGGCUACGUGCAAUAUAUUUGCAUUUGCGAAUAUGGACUAUCAUCAGCUGUAUAAUGGAAUGACGACAAUGAAAAUUUGUGCUGGACUGGGACUCAUACCCGGAUUUCGCACUUAUUGUGAGCGGUUGCCGUACCAAACCUGUCCGACACAAAUUUUCAUUGUCGUCAUUCCAUUAUACAGCUGAUGGUAGUCCAUAUUUGCAAAGGAGAGUGCCUUUCAUGUAAUUCAUGAUGGCUGUUGUCACCGCAGUGCUUGUUCCUUCAGACAUGCAUGCAUCUGCGAAGGAACAUUACAUCAUAAAUUGGAAAAAUAUAGUCACUGCAGUAUCAUAUUGUAACAACCAGUCUGUCACCUAACCUAACCUAGACCAAAGGUUUAAAAGUGCUGAGAAUCAUGUCACUGAUCAAAGCGGAAUGGCAGUAUCAAUAUCUUAAAUACACCAUUGCUGCAGCACAUUGAGAGGGGCUGUAGCAAUAAUGUCCUGAUAUUACAGAUUAUAGAAGGGUUUGAGGAACAAGUGGAGUAAGAGUGGUCCCUUGACAUAAUCUGCUAGAAUUGACACACAAGCAGUUGUGAUGAGCUUGGUGACUGCUGUGUCAUUGGUUAGUUAUGAGCCAAGAAACCAGUGUCUUGGCAGUGUGGCUGUAGCCUUGUCUUCUGUAGGUGCACAACAUGUGCAACCCACUCAGCUGUUGGUUAUACCAUGAACCAGCAUCGUAUGGAGUGUCCUGUAUGUUGCAUUUGGUGAUUCAUGGACUUGUCAAAAUAUGGCAUUGGGAUUUUCUUAAUCCUCGUCUCUUUAAAUUGUUAUGCCUUUUGCAUCCUAUAAGGCACUAAUUUAUAUAGGGAAAUGAAAAUUAAGUUGUAGCGAAAACUCCUCUCUUUUAUACUUAUUUAAAAAUCUGUGCAAUAUGGUGAGCAAUCAUUCACUGUAUUAUGCAGUUAAAUUUUGUUUUUAUUUUCAAGGAGUGCGUAGAUCCUGGUUGUAAAUAUGUACAAAGCCUUUCUUGUGUGGCUUGUUAGGCCUUGCAUUUGUUCUUCACAUAGAACUGGUGGACUGCACUGUAGUCUUCCGCACUUCCCUAGCUGGCUCUUAUUUUGGUGAGCUUGUCUUACUCGAAUGCUUGUGGCCACAUGUGUAACAUCUAUUUACAAUUCAUAUCAGUGACAUUGUCUUAUUUCUUGGUAGGCAGAAAACAAUAACAGUAAAAAUUACAACCUGUGAAUGUGUUUUUGCUGUCAUUAGAUGUCUAAGUGGUGAGCCAUAGUCCAUGUUUUCCUAUCUUGUGCUGACAUUUUCAUCUCCACGUAUUACACCCAACAUCUGCUUUAGAUAGUCUGUUCUCUGUCAGCCCCUAUAAUUUUCCUGCUGUACUGCUCCUGGUGCCAAGUCAGCUGUUACUGGAUGCCACAGCAUAUGUUCCACUGAUCUGCCACUUUGUAUAGUAAGGGUCUUCUGUAGACGUCUUUACUCACAUAUUCAUUUUAGUAUCUGUUCAAUAUGCAGUUUCAUCUGUUCACUUAAUUUUUCAGUCUUUAACACCACAUUUAAGUUUCUUCAUAUCCAGAUUUCCAGUUAGUUCACAUUUCACUUCCAAACAAUUCUGUGCUCUAUAUGUAUUCUGUCAGGGACGUCUUCCUCAUUUCCAUUUUGCUGUCUUAUACCAACAGACCUUUUUUUCUUUUUCUAAUUGAAAUGAGCUUUCUUUGACUGGAUUCUCUAUUCUUCGAUAACUUCCUCGCUUCGGCCAUCCUUUCCAAUCAAACUCAUAGAGAGGAAAUUUAUCUCAAUACUCCCAUCACUGUGAAUGCCCGCUCAUAUGUACCUAUUAUAUUAAAUCAGUUUUUGGCCGCAGUCAUAUGUGAAUUGCUUGUAUUGUUUUUACUUUGGUGGAGGUUUUCAUAGUGUGCAUAAAAGACUUUGGCAAGGUCACCACAAGGCUUCAACAAGGCAAUUAGUACAUUUGGGAUGCACUCAUGCAUUAGAUGUAUACUGUUCCCCACAGCACAAAUGUCAUAUAGUUCGUAACAAUCAGUAAUUUAGAUUACAUUAAAAUCUAUGUUUAGAAGGGCAUCCAUUGUUUUGUAAUGGUUCUAGUGCAUGUUUGUGUCUCCUUAUGACAAUUUUUCCAUGUAAAACCUAUUAGUUAUCCUGAAUGCCCUGUAAGAUAGAAGGUAUAGUUGUGGGUGUUCCCCCUGGCUAACUAUUCCAUUUGCCUAUGCAGUAUUUUGAUUACAUUUCAGUAUUACUCAUUUUAUGGACUGAGGGUAAUAGCUGUUAAGUAAGUUGUUAUAUUUAUUCAGCAUACAACACACGAUAAGGCAAUGUUGUCACACAGCUACUUUGUAUGUUAAAGUAUGUCUCAUUAAUGUUUCAAAAACGGACAGUGACGUGUGUGUCCCAAAACUGACAGCUGUCUUUUUUUUUUAACAUUGCUUUGUUGUGUAUUGUAUGCUGAAUAAAUAUAAGACUUGGAUAGUGGAUUAGUGAGGUACUGCUACCAGUGACCCAAAUUACACACACUGUCUGGACUCAACCUUUCCACUGAAUAUGAUUAAGGCAGUCUCUUAAGCCAUCUAGUAAUGAUGGAUUUAUCAGUGAGUGAGCAUUAUGCUGGAGAAUAGAAUUGUGACCUUCACGAGCAGUGGUUAGAAGAGUGGAAAGUUCUGUUUAGUGAAUUUAAUAAUACGUUAUGUGAAUAUGUCUAAAUAACUUAAGCAAUUCCUCUUCAUCUCCGAAAUAUGUACUGUCUAUGUAUCUGCAUGACAUUCCAAAGCUGCUGAGAUGACAAAAUUUGCGAUAUUAGCUUUGUGUUUUAUUACCUGUAUUGCUGAUGAAUGAAUGGGAAAAAUGAUUCAAGUACAUAUGAAAA